CUACGGGUUGCAGCAGUGAGGAAUAUUGCACAAUGGGGGGAACCCUGAUGCAGCAACGCCGCGUGGAGGAUGACGCAUUUCGGUGUGCAAACUCCUUUUAUAUGUCAAGAAAAUGACGGUAGCAUAUGAAUAAGCACCGGCUAACUCCGUGCCAGCAGCCGCGGUAAUACGGAGGGUGCAAGCGUUACUCGGAAUCACUGGGCGUAAAGGACGCGUAGGCGGGUUGGAAAGUCAGGUGUGAAAUCCUACAGCUUAACUGUAGAACUGCACUUGAAACUUCUAAUCUAGAGUAUGGGAGGGGGAGAUGGAAUGAGGGGUGUAGGGGUAAAAUCCGUAGAUAUCACUAGGAAUACCUAAAGCGAAGGCGAUCUCCUGGAACAUUACUGACGCUAAGGCGUGAAAGCGUGGGGAGCAAACAGGAUUAGAUACCCCAGUAGUC
rnacentral:rRNA from 1 species